rnacentral:rRNA from 1 species
AUUGAACGCUGGCGGCAGGCUUAACACAUGCAAGUCGAGCGGGGUGAUGGUGCUUGCACUAUCACUUAGCGGCGGACGGGUGAGUAAUGCUUAGGAAUCUGCCUAUUAGUGGGGGACAACAUCUCGAAAGGGAUGCUAAUACCGCAUACGUCCUACGGGAGAAAGCAGGGGAUCACUUGUGACCUUGCGCUAAUAGAUGUGCCUAAGUCGGAUUAGCUAGUUGGUGGGGUAAAGGCCUACCAAGGCGACGAUCUGUAGCGGGUCUGAGAGGAUGAUCCGCCUCACGGGGACUGAGACACGGCCCAGACUCCUACGGGAGGCAGCAGUGGGGAAUAUUGGACAAUGGGGGGAACCCUGAUCCAGCCAUGCCGCGUGUGUGAAGAAGGCCUUAUGGUUGUAAAGCACUUUAAGCGAGGAGGAGGCUCUUUUGGUUAAUACCCAAGAUGAGUGGACGUUACUCGCAGAAUAAGCACCGGCUAACUCUGUGCCAGCCGCCGCAGUAA